rnacentral:rRNA from 1 species
CAAUAGCGUAUAUUAAAGUUGUUGCAGUUAAAAAGCUCGUAGUUGGAUUUCUGGUGGGAGCGAUCGGUCUGGCGCUUAGCGCGAGUACUUGCAUCGUCUCCGGCCAUCCUUGGGGAGAGUCUGUAUGGCAUUAGGUUGUCGGGCAGAGGAUCCUCAUCGUUUACUGUGAAAAAAUUAGAGUGUUCAAAGCAGGCUUAUGCCGUUGAAUAUAUUAGCAUGGAAUAAUAAGAUAGGACUUUGGUACUAUUUUGUUGGUUUGCGCACCAAAGUAAUGAUUAAUAGGGACAGUUGGGGGUAUUCGUAUUCCGUUGUCAGAGGUGAAAUUCUUGGAUUUACGGAAGACGAACUACUGCGAAAGCAUUUACCAAGGAUGUUUUCAUUAA